rnacentral:rRNA from 1 species
UGGAGAGUUUGAUCCUGGCUCAGAUUGAACGCUGGCGGGAUGCUUUACACAUGCAAGUCGAACGGCAGCACGGACUUCGGUCUGGUGGCGAGUGGCGAACGGGUGAGUAAUGUAUCGGAACGUGCCUAGUAGCGGGGGAUAACUACGCGAAAGCGUAGCUAAUACCGCAUACGCCCUUCGGGGGAAAGCGGGGGACCUUCGGGCCUCGCACUAUUAGAGCGGCCGAUAUCGGAUUAGCUAGUUGGUGGGGUAAUGGCUCACCAAGGCGACGAUCCGUAGCUGGUUUGAGAGGACGACCAGCCACACUGGGACUGAGACACGGCCCAGACUCCUACGGGAGGCAGCAGUGGGGAAUUUUGGACAAUGGGGGCAACCCUGAUCCAGCCAUCCCGCGUGUGCGAUGAAGGCCUUCGGGUUGUAAAGCACUUUUGGCAGGAAAGAAACGGCACGGGAUAAUACCCCGUGCAACUGACGGUACCUGCAGAAUAAGCACCGGCUAACUACGUGCA